UAUUUGAUCCUUCUUGUUAAGGAAUGUGAAGUGAUUUGUUGUAUAAUAAAACUGUAUGCUGGUUCUUAAGAUAGAAUAAGAUAGGAUAAGAUAGAAGGUAUUGAUGUAAAAAGUUCAGUAAAAUAUCUUGGCAUUGUAAUAAUUAAAAGUACCUCUGAUAGAAUUACCAAUAACUUUUCUAAAUGAAUUCAGAUGUCCAUUUUCAACUGCUGGCUACAAAGAAAUGUAACUAUUUAUGGUCGUGUGUUAUUGACGAAAGCCGAGGGUAUUUCAUUGUUUACCCUGCUCUCUCUUUCAUGACCGGAAAGCAUGUUCAUCUAUUGAUUCUAUGUUAUUUAAAUUCUAGUGGAAAAACAAGACUGAAUAUGUUAAAAGAAAGACAUUGGUAAGAAAUAUUUUAGAGGGAGGGGUAAAUGCUUUGGACUUUCCUACUUUUGAUGAGGUUUUCAAAAUUGGGUGGAUUAAACGUUGCCUGAAUGCUGACCCUAAUUUGUUAUGGUUUUACAUUCCUAAAUUUAUAUUUGAUAAUUGUGGAGGUCUAAAUUUUUUAUUAGCCUGUGAUUUUAGCUGUAAUAAACUCCCUAUAAAACUUGCCAAUUUUCACAAACAAGCUUUGGAAGCAAGUAAGCUUCUGCCACAAUUUUUCCCUUCACAAAUCUAUAAUAUGGAAUAAUCGGAAUAUGCUGCGGAGUAAAAAAUCUAUUUUUAUCAAAUUAUGGGUGGACAGAGGAAUAGUUUUUAUUUUAGAAUUAUUAAAACGGAAGGUAACGUUUGCUCUUUUAGUUUCUUCAUUUUACGGAAUGGAUAUUUCGCCCAGAGUAUAUUGGGUUAUAAAGUCUAUUUCUCCAAACCUAUUACAUCUGACUAGAACCUGUGCUUAUACAGACUUAAAAUGUGAAAUGGCUAAAUCAGUUAUUGGAGGGGUGGAAAUUACUGAUAUUAAAUGUAAUAAUUGGUUCGUUAGAAGAAAUUUUGCUAAUAAGUCUAGCUUGUACCCGAAAGCUAUUGAUAAGUGGAAAUUAAAUAACCCGGUUCUGUCCACCAUUAAAAUUUGGCCUGGUAUCAAUAAGUUUUUAGUGGCUAAUAAGAUAAAAGAACUUUAUUUAAAAAUCCUUCAUAAUCACUAUCCCUGUAAUUCUUUACUGGCUAAAUUUAAUAUAAACAAUUCUUGUCGAUGCACAUUCUGUAAUUCUAAUCUGAAAACAAGAGCGCAUUUAUUUUUAGAAUGCAAUAUUGUAGAAAGAAUUGAUCUUGGCUUGUCCGAUCAGCUUACAAAAAACUUUUUAACUUUAAGAAAAUUAAUUUAUUGUUUUGGGAGUCAGAUUAUAAGGAAAUGAACAAAAUGUUAAAAAUUUUAACGCUUUUUUGCUGCCUUUUCCAUCUUCACAAAUGUUAAGUUAUUCAGUGUUUGCCUAAUUUUAGAACCUUUUGCAUUGACUUGAAACUUUAUUAUGAAUUUGUCUGCCUAUCGCAAAAGCUGCUAAAACAAUUCAACUGCUGAAAAAAUAAUAUUAUUAUAAUCAUUACCUUUAAGUUAUCAGAUCCCUUUUGGUACGCCUAUGUAACAAUCCAAAUAAUCGAAGUAUAGUUUGAGAUAUUUAUGUUUUAUUUAUUUUGAUAUACAUUUAUAUUUUGCUUUCUUUAAUUAUCUGUUUUUCUUUCAUGUACUUUUUUUUCCUUAUCCCUUGUAUCAUUUGUGUUACUAGAUGUACAAUUAAUAUGUAGAAUUUGUAUUCAGGUUACACAAUAUUAGCACAAAUCAAUGUUUUAUGUAUUCCCUGUUAAUUAUCUUAUUUAAAAACUCUAGCUGUGCAUAGAGCCCGUUACAUGUAGAAAAAAAAAACACAUAGAAGAUCUCAGGUCAAAUUUGAUUGACAAGACUGAGAACCAAUGAAAGCCGCUUGUGAAAGAAUCUGAACACGCCUUUACAACAUCAUUGGUCGAUUACAUUAAUUGGUGUCUAAUGGCGAUGGAAACACAAUGAGUAACGUUAAUGUCUAAUGGCGAUGGAAACACAAUGGCUGUAGGCAGGCAUCAAGACAAGCAAAAAAAGCUGCUCCUGAUGGAGUGAGGAGGAGGAAUGAGGUGAUCACACAUGAAACCUGCCACCAAUGAUUACGUGAGACUAAAAGGAAGUACACUAACCCACAGAGGAACACCUUUGGCAUUUCAUAACAUACCACAGGACAAGGCUGAUCAAGCCCUGGAGGUCCCUGCUCUCCCUUCUGUCCUUUUAGACCUUUCUUUCCUAUUGAGCCUCUCUCGCCCUGCAUGGAGCCAUAAACAAGUACACAGAAGAAAGCCCUGGGAAACCCUGUCACAGGACAGCCAUGUUAACAAAACUUACCCUCUGUCCAGGUGGACCUCUCUCUCCAGCAUCCCCCUUUUCUCCUUUUACUGCUUCACCAGGUUCUCC